rnacentral:rRNA from 1 species
AGAGUUUGAUCAUGGCUCAGGAUGAACGCUAGCGGCAGGCCUAAUACAUGCAAGUCGAACGGUGGUAGCAAUACCAUAGUGGCGCACGGGUGCGUAACACGUAACUAACCUACCUAUAACUGGGGGAUAGCCCGCCGAAAGGCGGAUUAAUACCGCAUAAGCUGUCUGAGUGGCAUCACUCGAUUAGUAAAGAUUUAUUGGUUAUAGAUGGGGUUGCGGGUCAUUAGCUAGUUGGUAAGGUAACGGCUUACCAAGGCGACGAUGACUAGGGGAGCUGAGAGGCUGGUCCCCCACACGGGCACUGAGAUACGGGCCCGACUCCUACGGGAGGCAGCAGUAGGGAAUAUUGGGCAAUGGGCGAGAGCCUGACCCAGCCAUGCCGCGUGCAGGAAGAAGGCUUUCUGAGUCGUAAACUGCUUUUGACAGGGAAGAAUAAGCACUACGUGUAGUGUGAUGACGGUACCUGCAGAAUAAGCACCGGCUAACUCCGUGCCAGCAGCCGCGGUAAUACGGAGGGUGCGAGCGUUGUCCGGAUUUAUUGGGUUUAAAGGGUGCGUAGGCGGCCUGAUAAGUCCGGGGUGAAAGCCCGCUGCUCAACAGCGGAACUGCCCUGGAUACUGUCAGGCUUGAGUACAGACGAGGUUGGCGGAAUGGACUGAGUAGCGGUGAAAUGCAUAGAUACAGUCCAGAACCCCGAUUGCGAAGGCAGCUGACUAGGCUGUUACUGACACUGAGGCACGAAAGCGUGGGGAUCAAACAGGAUUAGAUACCCUGGUAGUCCACGCCCUAAACGAUGAAUACUCGAUGUUGGCGAUAUACGGUCAGCGUCUAAGCGAAAGCGUUAAGUAUUCCACCUGGGGAGUACGCCCGCAAGGGUGAAACUCAAAGGAAUUGACGGGGGCCCGCACAAGCGGAGGAGCAUGUGGUUUAAUUCGAUGAUACACGAGGAACCUUACCCGGGCUUGAAAGUUAGUGAAUGAUUCAGAGACGAAUCAGUCCUUCGGGACACGAAACUAGGUGCUGCAUGGCUGUCGUCAGCUCGUGCCGUGAGGUGUUGGGUUAAGUCCCGCAACGAGCGCAACCCCUAUGUUUAGUUGCCAGCACAUAAUGGUGGGGACUCUAAACAGACUGCCUACGCAAGUAGAGAGGAAGGAGGGGACGACGUCAAGUCAUCAUGGCCCUUACGUCCGGGGCUACACACGUGCUACAAUGGAUGGUACAGAGGGCUGCUACCUGGCAACAGGAUGCUAAUCUCAAAAAGCCAUUCACAGUUCGGAUUGAGGUCUGCAACUCGACCUUAUGAAGUUGGAUUCGCUAGUAAUCGCGUAUCAGCAAUGACGCGGUGAAUACGUUCCCGGGCCUUGUACACACCGCCCGUCAAGCCAUGGGAGCUGGGGGUACCUAAAGUAUGUAACCGCAAGGAGCGUCCUAGGGUAAAACCGGUAACUGGGGCUAAGUCGUAA